AGUGAACGCUGGCGGCGUGCUUAACACAUGCAAGUCGAACGAGAACGGAUUAUAGCUUGCUAUAAUUGUCAGCUAAGUGGCGCACGGGUGAGUAAUGUAUAGGUAAUAUGCCUCUUACUAAGGGAUAACAAUUGGAAACGAUUGCUAAUACCUUAUAUUCCUUUUUAUCAAAAGUUAAAAAGGGAAAGAUUUAUUGGUAAGAGAUUAGCCUGUAUUGUUUCAGUUAGUUGGUGGGGUAAUGGCCUACCAAGACGAUGACGCAUAACUGGUUUGAGAGGAAGAUAAGUCACACGGGAACGGAGACACGGUCCAAACGCCUACGGGAGGCAGCAGUGAUGAAUAUUGCACAAUGGACGAAAGUCUGAUGCAGCAGCGCCGCGUGAAGGAUGACACAUUUCGGUGCGUAAACUCCUUUUAUAUGAGAAGAUAAUGACGGUAUUAUAUGAAUAAGCACCGGCUAACUCCGUGCCAGCCGCCGCCGUAA
rnacentral:rRNA from 1 species